rnacentral:lncRNA from 1 species
CCCUGCAAUGCCCUUCUCUUCAAUGAUAGAUUAAUGCAUUGCCAAUCAUCCUGAACUGGAGGCUGGGAGACCAGAACACUGUUGCAGGGUCUUCCUUUGCUACCUCAUUAGCAGGGCAUAGGUUGGCCUUGGGCAAGGUGCACAGCUAGCAGUCUACCUUGUGCAAGAGACCAGCCGGAUAGCUGCAGAGGGACCUGAACUCCUUCCUGUGGACUAUUCGGCGCCAUCCUCCAGCCUACUUGUUUGGCACCAUCCACGUUCCCUAUACCCGAGUCUGGGACUUCAUCCCUGACAAUUCCAAAGCAGCCUUCCAGGCCAGCACUCGUGUCUACUUCGAGCUGGAUCUGACAGAUCCCUACACCAUCUCAGCCCUGGCCAGUUGCCAGCUGCUGCCCCACGGGGAGAACCUGCAGGACGUGCUGCCAAGGGAGCUCUACUGGCGCCUGAAGCGCCACCUGGACUAUGUGAAGCUGAUGAUGCCC